GACGAACGCUGGCGGCGUGCCUAAUACAUGCAAGUUGAGCGAUGAAGAUUGGUUCUUGCACCAAUUUGGAGAGCAGCGAACGGGUGAUUAACGCGUGGGUAAUCUGCCUUUGAGCGGGGGACAACAUUUGGAAACGAAUGCUAAUACCGCAUAACAACUUUAAACAUAAGUUUUAAGUUUGAAAGAUGCAAUUGCAUCACUCAAAGAUGAUCCCGCGUUGUAUUAGCUAGUUGGUUAGGUAAAGGCUCACCAAGGCGAUGAUACAUAGCCGACCUGAGAGGGUGAAUGGCCAAAUCGGGAACGAGACCAGGCCCAAACUCCCAACGGAAGGAGCAGGAGGGAAUCAUCGGCAAUGGACGAAAGUCUGAACGAGCAACGCCGCGUGAGUGAAGAAGGUUUUCGGAUCGUAAAACCCUGUUGGUAGAGAAGAAAGUUGGUGAGAGUGGAAAGCUCAUCAAGUGACGGUAACUACACAGAAAGGGACGGCUAACUACGUG
rnacentral:rRNA from 1 species